GACGAACGCUGGCGGCGUGCUUAACACAUGCAAGUCGAACGGAAAGGCCCUGCUUUUGUGGGGUGCUCGAGUGGCGAACGGGUGAGUAACACGUGAGUAACCUGCCCUUGACUUUGGGAUAACUUCAGGAAACUGGGGCUAAUACCGGAUAGGAGCUCCUGCUGCAUGGUGGGGGUUGGAAAGUUUCGGCGGUUGGGGAUGGACUCGCGGCUUAUCAGCUUGUUGGUGGGGUAGUGGCUUACCAAGGCUUUGACGGGUGGCCGGCCUGAGAGGGUGACCGGCUACAUUGGGACUGAGAUACGGCCCAGACUCCUACGGGAGGCAGCAGUGGGGAAUAUUGCACAAUGGGCGGAAGCCUGAUGCAGCAACGCCGCGUGCGGGAUGACGGCCUUCGGGUUGUAAACCGCUUUCGCCUGUGACGAAGCGUGAGUGACGGUAAUGGGUAAAGAAGCACCGGCUAACUACGUG
rnacentral:rRNA from 1 species